rnacentral:rRNA from 1 species
GAUGAACGCUGGCGGCGUGCUUAACACAUGCAAGUCGAACGAAGCACUUUAAAACAAUCCCUCGGGUGCGUUUUAUUGUGACUUAGUGGCGGACGGGUGAGUAACGCGUGGGUAACCUGCCUCAUGCAGGGGGAUAACAGUUAGAAAUGACUGCUAAUACCGCAUAAGCGCACAGUACCGCAUGGUACAGUGUGAAAAGAUUUAUCAGCAUGAGAUGGACCCGCGUCUGAUUAGCUAGUUGGUGAGGUAACGGCUCACCAAGGCGACGAUCAGUAGCCGACUUGAGAGAGGGAUCGGCCACAUGGGGACUGAGACACGGCCCAAACUCCUACGGGAGGCAGCAGUGGGGAAUAUUGCACAAUGGGGGAAACCCUGAUGCAGCGACGCCGCGUGAGCGAUGAAGUAUUUCGGUAUGUAAAGCUCUAUCAGCAAGGAAGAUAAUGACGGUACUUGACUAAGAAGCCCCGGCUAACUACGUGCCAGCCGCCGCGGUAAAAC